GGCUCGCUAGAUCGCGUCGGUGCCCUUCGGGGCUUGAAGGGGAAUGCGGUGCGGAGGGUUCGCCAUCCAAUGCCGCAGCUGUCCCUGCAACUGUAAGCGGCGAGCGAAACGCACACGCCCUUCGCGACGAGGGGCAGCCACUGGGUCGACGACCUGGGAAGGUGUGGCGUGGAGCCGUGACCCGCGAGCCAGGAGACCUGCCGGCGUCUGGUCGCUCUC
rnacentral:ncRNA from 2 species